GUCUGAUUGGCUGUUACCUGGGAUGCGUCACGUCCGAUUUCCCCGUUUGUUUUGCUAGCGUCGACGGUGGUUGUAGGUAAGCGAGCUGUGUUUAAUGGGUGAUCCUUUCUGGAGUUUUCCUAUGUAUAACUUUUUAACUCAUUGUUAUCAAUUAGUGCAGCUUUGGUGCGGUGCCCUCCGUGCUGCUUAGUGGGUCUGAUGACUGUUCACCUCACAGACCCACGGAAAAUCAUCCAUUCCCUGAGAAACGAUGCUCAAGUGAAGACGCUGAGGCGAUGUCUCGUCAGGAUAUACCCACAGACAUAUAAUGAGCAGGGUGACCAUGAGACCACACAAACGGAGACAUUGCAGCUGCCCCUUCAGUACAGUGAUGCCUGAAGUCCAGGCAUUGAAAGACCACACUUAUGCCUCAGGGGAUAAAAUAAUGUUACACAAGGCAACACAGUUCCACUGUGAAGAUCCCUUUGUUCUACACUUCCAAUUUUAAGAUGCACAUAAAGGAUCAAAUUCUGAUGACCAUGAUGAAGCUGAAGUUGAAUUUAUUUCAAGGAGAUCUUGAUGAAUGCUUUUGAGGAGGAGCACGAGUCUACAUUCCAUGGCAUUUUAUAUGAAAUUUAAAACAGUGUAGUAUUUUUGUAUAUAUUGUGUAGUUGUUUGGAAUUAUUCAGUGUUACCAUUGUAAGGGAAACAGGUAAAUUAAAGAUUUUAAAGGGAA